rnacentral:rRNA from 1 species
UACGUAGGGUGCAAGCGUUGUCCGGAAUUAUUGGGCGUAAAGAGCGUGUAGGCGGCCCGAUUAGUCCGCUGUGAAAGUCCAGGGCUCAACCCUGGAAUGCCGGUGGAUACUGUCGAGCUAGAGUCCGGAAGAGGCGGGUGGAAUUCCUGGUGUAGCGGUGGAAUGCGCAGAUAUCAGGAGGAACACCAACGGCGAAGGCAGCCCGCUGGGACGGUACUGACGCUAAGGCGCGAAAGCGUGGGGAGCGAAUAGG